AUUGAACGCUGGCGGAAUGCUUUACACAUGCAAGUCGAACGGCAGCACGGACUUCGGUCUGGUGGCGAGUGGCGAACGGGUGAGUAAUGCAUCGGAACGUGCCCAAUCGUGGGGGAUAACGUAGCGAAAGUUACGCUAAUACCGCAUACGAGCUAAGGAUGAAAGCGGGGGAUCGCAAGACCUCGCGCGAAUGGAGCGCCCGAUGUUGGGGUAGGGAGUUGGUGGGGUAAAGGCUCACCAAGCCGACGAUCUAUAGCUGGUCUGAGAGGAUGAUCAGCCACACUGGGACUGAGACACGGCCCAGACUCCUACGGGAGGCAGCAGUGGGGAAUUUUGGACAAUGGGCGAAAGCCUGAUCCAGCCAUUCCGCGUGCAGGAUGAAGGCCCUCGGGUUGUAAACUGCUUUUGUACAGAACGAAAAGCUCUGGGUUAAUACCCUGGGGUCAUGACGGUACUGUAAGAAUAAGCACCGGCUAACUACGUGCCAGCCGCCGCCGUAACAC
rnacentral:rRNA from 1 species